GUGCCAGCCGCCGCGGUAAUACCAGCCCCGCGAGUGGUUGGGACGUUUACUAGGCCUAAAGCGCCUGUAGCCGGCCCUGUAAGUCCCUCCCUAAAGGCCCGGGCUCAACCCGGGAACCGGGAGGGAUACUGCAGGGCUAGGGGGCGGGAGAGGCGGGGGGUACUCCCGGAGUAGGGGCGAAAUCCGUAGAUCCCGGGAGGACCACCAGUGGCGAAGGCGCCCCGCUAGAACGCGCCCGACGGUGAGAGGCGAAAGCCGGGGCAGCAAAAGGGAUUAGAUACCCCUGUAGUCCCGGCUGUAAACGAUGCCGGCUAGGUGUUCGCGUGGGCUUAGAGCCCACGCGGUGCCGCAGGGAAGCCGUUAAGCCGGCCGCCUGGGGAGUACGGCCGCAAGGCUGAAACUUAAAGGAAUUGGCGGGGGGGCACCACAAGGGGUGAAGCUUGCGGCUUAAUUGGAGUCAACGCCGGAAACCUUACCCGGGGCGACAGCAGGAUGAUGGCCAGGCUAACGACCUUGCCGGACGAGCUGAGAGGAGGUGCAUG
rnacentral:rRNA from 1 species